rnacentral:rRNA from 1 species
GAACGGGUGAGUAACACGUGAGCAACCUGCCCUGGACUCUGGGAUAAGCGCUGGAAACGGCGUCUAAUACUGGAUAUGAGCCCCUUCCGCAUGGUGGGGGUUGGAAAGAUUUUUUUGGUCUGGGAUGGGCUCGCGGCCUAUCAGCUUGUUGGUGAGGUAAUGGCUCACCAAGGCGUCGACGGGUAGCCGGCCUGAGAGGGUGACCGGCCACACUGGGACUGAGACACGGCCCAGACUCCUACGGGAGGCAGCAGUGGGGAAUAUUGCACAAUGGGCGGAAGCCUGAUGCAGCAACGCCGCGUGAGGGAUGACGGCCUUCGGGUUGUAAACCUCUUUUAGCAGGGAAGAAGCGAGAGUGACGGUACCUGCAGAAAAAGCGCCGGCUAACUACGUGCCAGCAGCCGCGGUAAUACGUAGGGCGCAAGCGUUAUCCGGAAUUAUUGGGCGUAAAGAGCUCGUAGGCGGUUUGUCGCGUCUGCUGUGAAAUCCCGAGGCUCAACCUCGGGCCUGCAGUGGGUACGGGCAGACUAGAGUGCGGUAGGGGAGAUUGGAAUUCCUGGUGUAGCGGUGGAAUGCGCAGAUAUCAGGAGGAACACCGAUGGCGAAGGCAGAUCUCUGGGCCGUAACUGACGCUGAGGAGCGAAAGGGUGGGGAGCAAACAGGCUUAGAUACCCUGGUAGUCCACCCCGUAAACGUUGGGAACUAGUUGUGGGGACCAUUCCACGGUUUCCGUGACGCAGCUAACGCAUUAAGUUCCCCGCCUGGGGAGUACGGCCGCAAGGCUAAAACUCAAAGGAAUUGACGGGGACCCGCACAAGCGGCGGAGCAUGCGGAUUAAUUCGAUGCAACGCGAAGAACCUUACCAAGGCUUGACAUAC